ACCGAGCUUUCGACCGCGACCCCAGGUCAGACGGGAUUACCCGCUGAGUUUAAGCAUAUCAAUAAGCGGAGGA
rnacentral:rRNA from 3 species